CCCGUGAUGAAUCACUUCUCUGUGCCCUUCACCCCUAUCCAUUUCGGGGCCGCCUCCCCCCCAAAUAUCGUACCUGGCUCCAUAUCCUCCUCCGCCCCAGACUCCACCCCGGUCUCCACCUUUUAACUCCUCGCACGACUGUAGGGGCCCUCUUCCGCUUAUGUUGUAGAGUUUCUCCCCUCCACUUCUCACGCAUAUGUCCACGAUCCCGGUCAGAUUCCCCCAACGACUGCACCGUCGGGCAUGACCGCCACACCUCACCGGCCACUCUAAGGANACUGCCGACGUCAAGCUGGAAGAAGUGGAGCUGACGUCAAGUCCUANUGGGCACNNUGCGCACCGCUACANACGUGUUACAAUGACCAGUACAACGGGCNGCAAACCCGNGAGGUCGNGNUAAUCCCAAAAAACUGUUNUCAGUUCGGAUUNUAGUUUGCAACUCGGCUACAUGAAGCUGGAAUCGCUAGUAAUCGCAGAUCAGCACGCUGCGGUGAAUACGUUCCCGGGCCUUGUACACACCGCCCGUCACACCAUGGGAGUCAGUUGCUCUAGAAGUCGGUGCGCCAACCUCGUGAGGCAGCCGCCUAAAGAGUGACUGGUGACUGGGGUAAUCACA
rnacentral:rRNA from 1 species